rnacentral:lncRNA from 1 species
CUUGAACGAACAAACUCAAACCGCUCGAACGAACAAGCUCAGAUCGCUCGAACGAACAGCUUGGACCGCUUAUACAAACGGUUGAAUUCGCUUAUUUGGAUUAGUGAUUUGAACCGCUUAUUGGACAGUUUAGAGAGCUUGAUGCAGCAAAGUCACUGGCUGAUGAAAAGUGAUUUGAACCGCUUAUUGGACAGUUUGUUUAGACCGCUUAUUCGACAAACUUGUCUGGACCGCUUAUUUGAUUGAGUAAUCUGGAUCGUUCUUUCGGUAGAUUGAGUUUCGGUCUGCUCAUUCAGUUCGCUUGUUGGUCAGACUGUUUGAUUGCUUAUUGGACAUCCGUUUAUCCGAACAGUAUUUUUGAAAACAUGAAAAGAAUUCCGAUAUUUCCAGAUCUCGGAAGUGAUGUUGAUACUGAUGAUGAGGAAGAGUAUCUCAACAAAUGCAGAAAAAGCACUGAUCCUAACAGUUUUAAUUUUUUCUAUGCAGACAAAGUUGAGAUGCUGAAUCAAAAGAAGAUUGCUCGAUUGCAGAGAGAGCUUGAUGCAGCAAAGUCACUGGCUGAUGAAAAGGUGAAAACUGAAGCUGUAGAAAAAGUAGUGGAGAAAAUUGUUGAAGUCGAGAAACUAGUUGAAGUUGAAAAAAUAGUUGAAAAAGUAAUUGAAGUUGUUAAGCCUUGCGUGAAGUGCUCCAAAUCUUGCAAAGAAUGUGAUGAGAAAGACAAAAGAUUUGUUGAGUUAAAGAAAGCUGAAGGACAGAAAACAGAAAAAGAAUUUGUGAAGAAUGAAUCUUCAAGUUCUGCCUCAGUGUGUUUCGAAUGUGACAACUUGAAAAC